rnacentral:misc_RNA from 1 species
CUGGCAUCUUCUCGCCCAGCUCUUCCGCCAGCUCCAUCGCAGUCCCCAUUACUGCACUGCGCUCUGUCGCCUCCUCUCUUCCCCACCUCGCUGCUCCGAUCCAGCAAGAGCUCCAUCCGCGCGCAGGGAGGUCGUCAGAUGGAGUUCGUGCUCAUCAUCUCGCUGCCGCUGCUCAUACUCAUCAUCAUCGUCGCCGUCGUCCUCUGCAUCAUCUGCCGCUAG